CUCCUACGGGAGGCAGCAGUGAGGAAUAUUGGACAAUGGGCGAAAGCCUGAUCCAGCCAUGCCGCGUGAGUGAAGAAGGCCUUCGGGUUGUAAAGCUCUUUUAGUCGGAAAGAAAGAGUUGCAAUGAAUAAUUGUGAUUUAUGACGGUACCGACAGAAAAAGCACCGGCUAACUACGUGCCAGCGCCGCGGUAA
rnacentral:rRNA from 1 species